UGUGGCCUUUUGCGGCGUGUAGAACGGUACAUAUUAACGGUUUGCGACCUUAGUUCAGUCUCAUGGUAGCUUCUUCUCAUCUUACUUGGUGUAUGCAGUGUUUCUUACUAUUUUGUAAGGUUGUGUGUGUGUGUGUGUGUGUGUGUGUGUGUGUGUGUGUGUGUGUGUGUGUGUGUGUGU